GCAUAUGGAAGUUCCCAGGCUAGGGGUCAAAUCGGAGCUACAGCUGCUGGCCUACGCCAUAGCCACAGCAAUGCAGAAUCCAAGCCACAUCUGUGACUUACAUCACAGCUCACAGCAACACCAGAUCCUUAACCCACUGCACGAGGCCAGGGGUUGAACCUGCAUCCUCAUGGAUACUGGUUGAAUUCAUUUCCACUGCACCACAACAGGAACUCCCCAAAGAUUUUUCUUAAAUGAACUCUUCUGGUCAGUUAUUACUCCUUUCAGAGCAUUCAUCUUAGUCCUUUACCAACAACGUCCAAAAUUUUUAGUCAAUAAAACGUAUUUCCAAGAAACCAUGACAUUCUGAGCCAUUAUUCAAUGCCAUUCUAAUAAAAUCCAAACCUUUCAGUAUUUCCAUACCAGACGGCACAUUUUACAAGAGAGUGUACCAAGCUUUCUAACAGCCAAUGUUAAAACUGUACAUGUGUAUACAGUUUGACUGAGUUCCACUUUAAGAAAUCUAUUCAGUGGAAAUAAUUGAGCACAUAUACAAAGUACGUAUACAAAGAUGUUAAUCACAUUAUUUUUAAAAAUCACAUUAUUAUUUAUAAAGGCAAAUAUCAAGAAAAUGAAAUGUCCUUCAGUAAAAAAAAAGAUGAUACAUUCAUGAAUUUAAAUAUUGUAUAACCACUGAAGAUGAUGAAAUCUGUCUAUAUCUAAGGACCAUGAAAUAUAUAUGUGCGUCUAUGUAUAUAUAUUUUUUCAGGACCAUCUGUGUAUUCAGGAUAUCUAUAGUUGCAUAAACAAAUGUCUGAGGUUAUUUUUUGUUUUUCCUUAAAAAGUGUUUCUUAUCAGAGUUCCCGUCAUGGCUCAGCAGUUAACAAACCCUGACUAGUAUCCAUAAUGAUGCAAAUUCGAUCCCUGGCCUCACUCUGUGGGUUAAGGAUCUAGCAUUGCCGUGAGCUUGGUGUAGUUUGAAGAUGUGGCUUGGAUCUCAUGUUGCUGUGGCUGUGGUAUAAGCCAGCGGCUACAGCUCUGACUGGACACCUAGCCUGGGAACCUCCAUAUGUGGUGGGUGCAACCCUAAAAAGACAAAAAAAAAAUUAAAAAUUUUAAAAAAAAAAGAUUUCAAAGAAAUAUGUGGAAAUGUUAAUGGCAAUUGUACCUGGUGUUGUACACCAGCAUUUGUACCUGGAAUCACAGGUAAAUUUAUUCCUCUACUUUAUAUAUUAUAUACUUUUAAGUAUCUUUUUUUUUUUUUGUCUUUUUUGUUGUUGUUGUUGUUGUUAUUGUUGCUAUUUCUUGGGCCGCUCCCGCGGCAUAUGGAGGUUCCCAGGGUAGGGGUUGAAUCGGAGCUGUAGCCACCAGCCUACGCCAGAGCCACAGCAACGCGGGAUCCGAGCCGAGUCUGCAACCUACACCACAGCUCACGGCAAUGCCGGAUCGUUAACCCACUGAGCAAGGGCAGGGAUCGAACCCGCAACCUCAUGGUUCCUAGUCGGAUUCGUUAACCACUGCGCCUCGACGGGAACUCCUAAUUUUUAAAGCUAUUUUCAUUUUGGGUAAAAAUUAGCUCUCAACAGAAAAUAUUUUAUGAGGGUUUGUUUCCUUAAAAGAAACCAGUUAUAUGAGGACAAAAUUAUAUGCACAAAAUAAAGUUUAUUUAUCAACCCACUGUGGAUCAGUGGGUUAAGAACCUAACAUAGUGUCCAUGAGGACGCGAGUUCGAUCCCUGGCCUCACUUAGUGGGUUAAGUGUACAGCAUUGCUGCAAGCUGUGGUGUAGAUCACAGAUACAGUUUGGAUCCAGUGAUGCCAUGGCCGUGCCUUUGGCUCCAACUUGACCCCUAGCCCAGGAACAUGCUCUAGGUACACAGGUACAGCUGUUAAAAAAAAAAAAAAAUCAAAGAAAAAAUGGGGUAUUAUAGUUAACUGAAAGUAACUAUAAGGACUUUAUGUGGAUAUAGACCAUGGACACAUCAAAACAGGCACUUACAAAGUGGUUUUCAUCCUAACUUUUAAAACCUUCCUUUUUAAAAUUUCAAUUCAUUUUAUCUGAAAUUCCUUUUUUAUUGAAGUACAGUUGAUUAACAAUAUAGUGUUAGUUUCAGGUGUACAGUAAGGUGAUUCAGUUAUAUAUAUUUUUUCAGAUUUUUUCCAUUAUAGGUUAUUACAUGAUAUUGAUUUUAGUUCCCUGUGCUAUACAGAAAAUCCUUGUUGUUUAUCUGUUUUAUACAUAGUAGUGUGUAUCUGAUAAUCUCUUAUUCCUAAUUUAUCCCUCCCUUUCUUUUCCUAUUUGGUAACCAUAAAUUUGUUUUCUGUCUGUGAGUCUGUUUUUGUUUUAUAAUUAAAUUCAUUCAUAUUAUUUUUUUAGAUUCCAUAUAUAAAUGGUAUCAUAUAAUAUUUAUCUCUGUUCAUGGACACUAGGUUGCUUCCAUACAUUGUCUUUGUAAACAGUGCUGCUAUGACCAUCAGGGUGCAUGUAUCUUUUGAAAUUAUAGUUUUCAUAGUUUCCAGAUAGAUGCCCAGGAGUUGAACUCAUGAAUCAUAUGGUAACUCUAUUUUUAGUUUUUUAAGAAACCUCCAUACUGUUUUCCAUAGUGGCUGCACCAAUUUACAUUCCCACCAAAAGCAUAGAAGUGUUCAUUUUUCUCCACACCGUCUCUAGUAUUUAUUAUGUGUAGACUUUUUGACAAUGGUCAUUCUGACUGGUAUGAGGUGAUACAUCAUGGUAGUUUUGAUUUGCAUUUCUCUAAUAAUUGGUGAUGUUGAGCAUCUUUUCAUGUGCCUGUUGGCCAGCUGUAUGUUUUCUUUUGAUAAAUGUCUAUUUAGGUCUUCUGCCCAUUUUUUAUUAGGUUUUUUGUUUUUUAUGAUAUUGAGCUGUUGUGUAUAUUUUGGAAAUUAACCCCUUGUCAGUUGCAUCAUUUACAAAUAUUUUCUCCCAGUCCUUAGGUUGUCUUUUUGUUUUGUUUAUGGUUUCCUUUGCUGUG
rnacentral:lncRNA from 1 species